ACAUAGGUCAAAAUUGGUUUACGAGGUGGUUAAUUUUGGAGUCUGCUCAGGAUGAACGCUGGCGGCGUGCCUAAUACAUGCAAGUCGAGCGAACAGACGAGGAGCUUGCUCCUCUGACGUUAGCGGCGGACGGGUGAGUAACACGUGGGUAACCUACCUAUAAGACUGGGAUAACUCCGGGAAACCGGGGCUAAUACCGGAUAAUACAUGAAACCGCAUGGUUUCAUGAUGAAAGACGGUUUUGCUGUCACUUAUAGAUGGACCCGCGGCGUAUUAGCUAGUUGGUAAGGUAACGGCUUACCAAGGCAACGAUACGUAGCCGACCUGAGAGGGUGAUCGGCCACACUGGAACUGAGACACGGUCCAGACUCCUACGGGAGGCAGCAGUAGGGAAUCUUCCGCAAUGGGCGAAAGCCUGACGGAGCAACGCCGCGUGAGUGAUGAAGGUCUUCGGAUCGUAAAACUCUGUUAUUAGGGAAGAACAAGGAUGUAAGUAACUAUGCAUCCCUUGACGGUACCUAAUCAGAAAGCCACGGCUAACUACGUGCCAGCAGCCGCGGUAAUACGUAGGUGGCAAGCGUUAUCCGGAAUUAUUGGGCGUAAAGCGCGCGUAGGCGGUUUUUUAAGUCUGAUGUGAAAGCCCACGGCUCAACCGUGGAGGGUCAUUGGAAACUGGAAAACUUGAGUGCAGAAGAGGAAAGUGGAAUUCCAUGUGUAGCGGUGAAAUGCGCAGAGAUAUGGAGGAACACCAGUGGCGAAGGCGACUUUCUGGUCUGCAACUGACGCUGAUGUGCGAAAGCGUGGGGAUCAAACAGGAUUAGAUACCCUGGUAGUCCACGCCGUAAACGAUGAGUGCU
rnacentral:rRNA from 1 species